rnacentral:rRNA from 1 species
AGAUGUGUAUAAGAGACAGAUUGAUAGCAGUAUCCUGAGUAGUGCGGGGCACGUGAAACCUUGCAUGAAUUUGCCGGGACCAUCCGGUAAGGCUAAAUACUCCUGAGAGACCGAUAGUGAACCAGUACCGUGAGGGAAAGGUGAAAAGAACCGUGAAUAACGGAGUGAAAUAGAUCCUGAAACCAUACGCUUACAAGCGGUCGGAGUCUGCCAUUGGUGGAUGACGGCGUGCCUUUUGCAUAAUGAGCCUACGAGUUACCGUUGCUAGCAUGGUUAAUCGAUUCAGUCGAGGAUCCGCAGCGAAAGCGAGUCUGAAUAGGGCGCUAGAGUUAGUAGUGGUCGACGCGAAACCGAGUGAUCUACCCAUGAGCAGGUUGAAGCUUUGUUAACCCAAAGUGGAGGACCGAACCCGUGGUCGUUGAAAAGUCUUGGGAUGACUUGUGGGGAGGGGUGAAAGGCCAAGCAAACUCGGAAAUAGCUCGUACUCCCCGAAAUGCAUUUAGGUGCAGCGUUGUAAAAGUUCUAUAGAGGUAGAGCUACUGAUUGGAUGCGGGGGCUUCACCGCCUACCAAUUCCUGACAAACUCCGAAUGCUAUAGAAUGAUUUACAGCAGUGAGGGCAUGGGUGCUAAGGUCCAUGUCCGAGAGGGAAAGAACCCGGACCAUCAGCUAAGGUCCCCAAGUGUAUACUAAGUUGAAUAAACGAGGUUUGACUGCCCAGACAGCUAGGAUGUUGGCUUGGAAGCAGCCAUUCAUUUAAAGAGUGCGUAACAGCUCACUAGUCGAGCGGUCGAGCAUGGAUAAUAAUCGGGCAUAAGUAUACCACCGAAGCUGUGGCAUCGAAAGAUGGGUAGGGGAGCAUUCUCUGGGCGUUGAAGGGGAACUGCGAGGUUUGCUGGAGCGCAUAGAAAAGAAAAUGUCGGCAUAAGUAACGAUAAUGCGGGCGAGAAACCCGCACACCGAAAGACUAAGGUUUCCUCAGCUAUGCUAAUCAGCUGAGGGUUAGUCGGGACCUAACGCGAACCCGAAGGGGGUAGUGGAUGGACAACCAGUUAAUAUUCUGGUACCUGCCGGCGCUAAACGUGACGGAGGGGAUGAGUUAUUGCGUACUGACGGAAUAGUACGUUGAAGCAACUGUUAAGGUUGUGAUAGUACACCAAGGCUUCGGCUGCGGUGAUAAUAUAGCGACUCCACUUCCAAGAAAAGCAAGCCAGGCAGCCCGUACCGUAAACCGACACAGGUAGU